CCAAUCGAACUCGGAGAUAGCUGGUUCUCCCCGAAAUAGCUUUAGGGCUAGCGUUGUGUUAGUUUACCGGAGGUAGAGCACUGAAUUGGCUAAGGGGCGAUGAGCUUACUGAACCUUAUCAAACUUCGAAUGCCGGAUAAAUGGUGCACAGCAGUCAGACAGUGUGAGAUAAGUUUCAUUGUCAAGAGGGAAACAGCCCAGACCCACAGCUAAGGUCCCAAAUGAACGCUAAGUGGAAAACGAUGUGGGGUUGCAAAAACAACCAGGAUGUUGGCUUAGAGGCAGCCACUCAUUAAAAGAGUGCGUAAUAGCUCACUGGUCGAGUGACCCUGCGCGGAAAAUAUAACGGGGCUAAGCGUCCAACCGAAGCUUGGGAUGUCUAAGGACAUGGUAGGGGAGCGUCGUGUAUAGGGAGAAGCAUGAGCGAGAGCACAUGUGGACAGUACACGAGUGAGAAUGCCGGAAUGAGUAGCGAGAAUUAUGUGGGAAUCAUAAUGGCCGAAAAUCUAAGGUUUCUUGGGGAAGGUUCGUCCGCCCAAGGUAAGCCGGGAGCUAAGGCGAGGCCGAAAGGCGUAGUCGAUGCACAUACGGUUGAAAUUCCGUAGCCGCCGAAAUUGUUAAGCACAGGGACACAUAGAGAUAUCCGAACCCGGGCGUUGGUUGACCCGGGCGCAAGGGACCGAACAUCAGUAGGGAAGUCGGAGAUGCUCUGUGGCGAGAAAAGCUGUGUGUAUUGAUUAGGCGCCCGUACCGCAAACCGACACAGGUAGAUGAGGAGAGAAUCCUAAGGCCAACGGGAGAAGGGUUGUUAAGGAACUCGGCAAAUUGACCCCGUAACUUCGGGAUAAGGGGAGCCUCCUACGGGAGGCCGCAGUGAAUAGGCCCAAGCAACUGUUUACCAAAAACACAGGUCUCUGCUAAAUCGAAAGAUGACGUAUAGGGGCUGACGCCUGCCCGGUGCCGGAAGGUUAAGAGGAGAGCUUAGCGCAAGCGAAGGUUCGAAUUGAAGCCCCGGUAAACGGCGGCCGUAACUAUAACGGUCCUAAGGUAGCGAAAUUCCUUGUCAGGUAAGUUCUGACCCGCACGAAUGGCGUAAUGAUUUGGGCACUGUCUCAACAGCCCGCCCGGCGAAAUUGUAGUACUGGUGAAGAUGCCAGUUACCCGCAACUAGACGGAAAGACCCCAUGGAGCUUUACUGUAGCCUAAUACUGAAGAUCGGUAAUGCAUGUACAGGAUAGGUGGGAGCCAGCGAAACCCGGGCGUCAGCUCGGAUGGAGGCAACCUUGGAAUACCACCCUUGUAUUGCUGGUUUUCUAACCUGCGGCCAUGAAUCUGGUCGGGGGACACUGUUAGGUGGGCAGUUUGACUGGGGCGGUCGCCUCCAAAAGCGUAACGGAGGCGCUCAAAGGUUGGCUCAGCACGGACGGAAAUCGUGCAUAGAGUGCAAACGCAUAAGCCAACUUGACUGCGAGACCGACGGGUCGAGCAGGUACGAAAGUAGGAGUUAGUGAUCCGGUGGUAUGUGAGUGGAAAUGCCAUCGCUCAACGGAUAAAA
rnacentral:rRNA from 2 species